CCCAUAUAUAAAUAACUACAGCUCCUCGGGGAGUAGAGGGGAGAUGAAAAUCAAGAAAAAGCUUAAAGAUGUGUAUUUUUAAAUUAUAUAUUGUUUUUCAGCAUGUGCAGCAGAUUCAAACCAGGACAUAAAGGUCAAAUCAGUGAACGAUCAGGAAGAGGCAGUAACCUGUAGAAAGAGUGAUGGCAACGUUCCCACCUGCUGAGAGCUGUUAAACAACAAGUGAUCAAUGAAAAGGGGCAGAACAUACAGGCAUCCAACCAGCCAGGAGUGAUGCUGUGGAUAAAAUCUACUAGCCGUUCUUGUAUUGUAAAUCCAUUCAGCACACACAAAGGACCACAUGAGAGUCUGCUUGACUUGUUCCCACUGGAACCCCUCUCUGCUUUUCCUUCACACACCUCCCCUGUCAGAGCUUUGAAGAUACAAAAUACAGAAUUAAUACUCAAAAACCACAGAUCUGUUAUGUAAGUGCCGAGUUUUACAGGUACUAAUGAAGAAAAGAUUAUAUAUCCUAGACAAAAUUUGUAUUUGUACAGAAAUAUUUGCAUCAUCAAGCACACUGUGAUUCAGGAACAACCCAACUAAGGCACAGUUUUUAUCUGAUUUAGCACAGUCAUUGUAUAUAGAACAUUUACUUAUUGUAUAUUCCAGUUUGGAUUAAGAAAAAAAAAAAUUAAAACAUUUCAAGCAGUUUCAAUUUACUGGCAUAGUCUCUACAAAUUAUCUAGCUAUAUAAAUACUUGUAAAUCUGAAAGUACAGUCAGGAAUGCUUCUGUCCUUAUACUAGGAAGUUGCUCAGUUUAGCUCUAGUAAUAUAAAACAUUGAAAUCCUUGCCAUGAAAACAAACUUACCAAUGCAUAUUAUCUAAUAACUACAAUAAAUGUAGCUUAAUUUCAUAAUAAUCA
rnacentral:lncRNA from 1 species